UCCUGACUGACCGAUAGUGAACCAGUACCGUGAGGGAAAGGCGAAAAGAACCCCGGCGAGGGGAGUGAAAAAGAACCUGAAACCGUGUACGUACAAGCAGUGGGAGCACGCUUAGGCGUGUGACUGCGUACCUUUUGUAUAAUGGGUCAGCGACUUAUAUUCUGUAGCAAGGUUAACCGAAUAGGGGAGCCGAAGGGAAACCGAGUCUUAACUGGGCGUUAAGUUGCAGGGUAUAGACCCGAAACCCGGUGAUCUAGCCAUGGGCAGGUUGAAGGUUGGGUAACACUAACUGGAGGACCGAACCGACUAAUGUUGAAAAAUUAGCGGAUGACUUGUGGCUGGGGGUGAAAGGCCAAUCAAACCGGGAGAUAGCUGGUUCUCCCCGAAAGCUAUUUAGGUAGCGCCUCGUGAAUUCAUCUCCGGGGGUAGAGCACUGUUUCGGCAAGGGGGUCAUCCCGACUUACCAACCCGAUGCAAACUGCGAAUACCGGAGAAUGUUAUCACGGGAGACACACGGCGGGUGCUAACGUCCGUCGUGAAGAGGGAAACAACCCAGACCGCCAGCUAAGGUCCCAAAGUCAUGGUUAAGUGGGAAACGAUGUGGGAAGGCCCAGACAGCCAGGAUGUUGGCUUAGAAGCAGCCAUCAUUUAAAGAAAGCGUAAUAGCUCACUGGUCGAGUCGGCCUGCGCGGAAGAUGUAACGGGGCUAAACCAUGCACCGAAGCUGCGGCAGCGACGCUGAUGCGUUGUUGGGUAGGGGAGCGUUCUGUAAGCCUGCGAAGGUGUGCUGUGAGGCAUGCUGGAGGUAUCAGAAGUGCGAAUGCUGACAUAAGUAACGAUAAAGCGGGUGAAAAGCCCGCUCGCCGGAAGACCAAGGGUUCCUGUCCAACGUUAAUCGGGGCAGGGUGAGUCGACCCCUAAGGCGAGGCCGAAAGGCGUAGUCGAUGGGAAACAGGUUAAUAUUCCUGUACUUGGUGUUACUGCGAAGGGGGGACGGAGAAGGCUAUGUUGGCCGGGCGACGGUUGUCCCGGUUUAAGCGUGUAGGCUGGUUUUCCAGGCAAAUCCGGAAAAUCAAGGCUGAGGCGUGAUGACGAGGCACUACGGUGCUGAAGCAACAAAUGCCCUGCUUCCAGGAAAAGCCUCUAAGCAUCAGGUAACAUCAAAUCGUACCCCAAACCGACACAGGUGGUCAGGUAGAGAAUACCAAGGCGCUUGAGAGAACUCGGGUGAAGGAACUAGGCAAAAUGGUGCCGUAACUUCGGGAGAA
rnacentral:rRNA from 1 species